CUGCUUGUUUCAGCAGCACAUAUACUAAAAUUGGAACAAUACAAAGAAGAUUAGCAUGGCCUCUGCUCAAGGAUGACACUAAAAUUUAUGAAGUGUCCCAUAAAGCG
ensembl:snRNA U6 U6 spliceosomal RNA